GCCUGGGUGGCUCAGUCAGUUAAGCAUCUGACUUCAGCUCAGGCCAUGAUUUCAUGGUUCGUGAGUUCGAGCCCCGCAUCAGGCU
rfam:Felis catus isolate Cinnamon breed Abyssinian chromosome F1, whole genome shotgun sequence.